UUUUUUUUUUUUUAAUCCAGUGCAGUUUGGUAGAAACAUAGCUAAAGAUAAAUCUUUUUCAAAGAUAAUUUUGGAGUUAAAUGUAGGUUACUUGGUGCUUACCACACAGCAUUUUAUGAAGAAGUGAUAAGAUGAAUAGACAAGUGUUUGAUGUGUUAUUUUUCCUUCAGGUCUUUAAAGGAUUUCCUCCUGCAUGUCUUAAGAGAGAACUUAACUGCUCAGGAUUAAGACUUACCCAGGGGCUGGAGAGAUGACUCAACGCUUGGAUACUUGUUGGUUUACAGAGGACCUGGGUUCAGUUCCCUAUACCUAAUGGUGGUUCACAGCCAUCCAUAACUCCAGUUCCAGAGGACAUGGUCUCUUCUGACCUUUGUGUGCCAGGCACAAGCAUGUGGGACAUACGUCAUACAUUCAUAGAUAUAUACAGGCAAAACCUGUAGCUGCAAAAAAUAUGUAAAUUUUAAAGUGUUACUUAGUUGUAUUAAAAUAUACUUUCUAGGGACUGGAGAAAUGGCUCAGUGGUUAAGUUUGUGUCCUGCUUUUCUACAACCUGAGUUAGAGUCACAGUUCACAGAUGGCUCACAACUGCCUGCUAACUCCAGAUCCAGAAAGACUGGAUACCUCUGGCCUCUGUUGUCUCAGCACUCAGGUGCCUAUGUAGACCCACAUAUCUACACAUAAUUUAAAAGUAAUAAAUCUUUAAACUUUCUAAUUUUAAUUCCUAAUGCAUUUUCUGUAACGUACUGAAUAGUUUAAGUAUGAUUAUAGAUAUAAUACCGAAGACCCUUUUUAACAUUUUCCCAUGAGUUUUCCUUUAAUGUUCAUAAAAGUUAUAAAAAAUUCAGUGACCCUCUACGGACUUAAAGCUAUACAGUGCUCCUUGACAUGGAGUUAAAUCUCUUCCCAAAUCUACCACUACCUCAAGUUGAAAACACAUGUUAGUACACUGAACCUAUUAAACAGCAGCCUGAGACACUGGAGUACUGAUGAUUCCUGUCAGGUUAAUUUAGCUGUCCUGCAUCGCCUCUCCUUUGUACAAAAGGGUAUCUUAACCAGAUAUUGCUAUUUGAGAAAAGCUUAAAAGUCUAGUUUUCUUCUGAGUGGCAUUACUCUUGUGCCAUCAUAAAGUCUAACCACUGCUGUCCAAGACUAGAUCCUACAUUUUCACCGUGUUUGCUUUCUCUAUACUUUAAGACCAUAAAUUGCAGAUUUCACAUCAAUUAAACAUUUCAAUAUAAAUCCCUGAAUACAAGCAUAUUUAUACAUUUUUGAAAUUACUUAUUUGCCCUAAUAUCACUCUUGCUUUAAAGCUACCUACUCAGAAAAACAGUCAUCAGGAUUUAUGAGUUGUAGGCAUGUAUGUAAUAUUUCUUACUCUAGAAUAGUCCAUCUCUUAAAGAUACUGUCUUUAGAAUUCUGCCUACUAUAGAAUUUGAAGUACCUCACAUGCUAAAACAUUUCCUAUAACCCUUCUGUAUUACAUAUUGUUUAAUAAAAUACCCUAC
rnacentral:lncRNA from 1 species